CUCAGAAGGCCUUAAUGUCCUGCCAAUGAAAGAGGAGAUUGUCCUCAACUUCUUUGCAGCAAAACCCAAUUAGGUGGCACCAACCUAGGCUUCCAAAUGUACAAACAGAACAGCAAACCUACAAAAGGAAAGGUGAUAGAAUCUAUAUCAUAAGUCUGGAGAGGACCUAGGAGAAUCUUCUGCUGAUGAUUCCUGUCCUUACUGCCAUUGAAACCCCAGCUGAUGUCAGUGUCAUAUCUUCUAGGAAUACUGGCCAUGGGCUGUGCUGAAGUUUCCAUCUGCCACUGGGGCCACUUCUCUGAGGGGCUCUUCACUCCAGUACCUUUAACUAACCAUAUCUAGGCAACCUUAGUGGAGCCAUGUCUGCCUGAGGUUAUCGAUCCUAGGGCUCUCAGCCUCUUGGAGAUGUAUCUUAUGUUAACCUGGCUACGAAUGCUCUGUGUAACACAGAUUCUCCCCUGCACUUGUAGAUGUUGCCAUCCCAUGCAACCACAAGGGAGCUCACUUAGUGGGUCUCAUGGUGGAUGCUGGCCUAGGAAGUUCUACACAUGGGUGGCACUAUCUCCCGUCAACAUGCAUGGGAGGUCAGACAUGAUCUCUGCCUCUGCAGAGAUCCUGAAGGGAUUGAAAAGAACAGUCAGGUGCUGAAAAGGCUGUAAUCAAGGAGGACCUUCAGGGUGAAUGGACUGCUCCAGCUGGUGAGUUCACUGCUUCCCAGCUCAAGGUAGCAGAUGAAUCUGAAGGCUUGUAGGUGCCUUCUGUGCCUAUUCAGCAGGUCCCUUCUGAAGACUGGAGCACUCAGCCUGCCACUGAAUCCUGGU
rnacentral:lncRNA from 1 species